rnacentral:rRNA from 1 species
AGGAUGAACGCUGGCGGCGUGCUUAACACAUGCAAGUCGAACGAUGAAGCCGGAGCUUGCUCUGGUGGAUUAGUGGCGAACGGGUGAGUAACACGUGAGUAACCUGCCCUUGACUCUGGGAUAAGCGUUGGAAACGACGUCUAAUACCGGAUACGACGCGCGAAGGCAUCUUCUGCGCGUGGAAAGAUUUCGGCAAGGAUGGACUCGCGGCCUAUCAGCUAGUUGGUGAGGUAAUCGGCCACCGAAGGCGACGACGGGUAGCCGGCCUGAGAGGGUGACCGGCCACACGUGGACUGAGACACCGGCCCAGACCUCCGUACGGGAGCAGCAGGUGGGAAUAUUGACACGAAGUGGGCACGAAGCCUGAUG